rnacentral:rRNA from 1 species
GAUGAACGCUAGCGGCAUGCUUAACACAUGCAAGUCGAGCGGCAGCAUGGUCUUAGCUUGCUAAGACUGAUGGCGACCGGCGCACGGGUGCGUAACGUGUAUGCAACUUGCCUCACAGAGGGGGAUAACCCGUCGAAAGACGGACUAAUACCGCGUUCACUCCAUCUUGGGCAUCCAAGGUAGAGGAAAUGAAUUUGGCUGUGAGAGAGGCAUGCGUCCCAUUUGCUCGUUGGUGAGGUAACGGCUCACCACGGCGAGGAUGGGUAGGGGAACGGAGAGGUGGAACCCCGAGACUGGGACCGGGACACGGACCAGACUCCUACGGGACGGAGCAGUAAGGAAUAUAGGUCAAGGGACGAGGGCCUGAACCAGCCAAGUCGCGUGAAGGAGGACUGUGUUAGGGAUGGUAUGCUUCUUGUAGACGAGAACAGCAGGAGUCACGGGUGACUCCCUGCAGGUACCGGAUGAAUAAGCAACGGCUAACUCCGUG